rnacentral:lncRNA from 1 species
GGUCUUUUCUGACCUCCCUUCCCGAUCUUAUGGUUGUUUGAUCAUCAGGUUGGGUUAUUUCAUCAUUGUUUUGUUUAGUGGGGGCUUCCAACUGAUUUGUUGUGUCAGUUGAGAUUUUUAAUGGAUUUGUUGUGUUAAGAUGAGUGACCUCAUCUUUCUCCUCUAUUGCAUCUUCAUUUUGAUUUGGCAGGUUUGGAAUAGUUAGAUUUGUGUUGAUAUGGGAAGGAGUUCUCAUAGAACUUCGCAUCUUUUGGAAAAUUAAUCCCUUCUAGGAGAUGGAGUGGCCAAGAAAUAUACAUGUUGAUGCCCUUGGGGAGAAUUUUGAUUCUCUUUGGUUUGUAUUAGCAUAGCGUAAACACCCCAAAAGUUUUUAGUGAUAUAUAAUCUUGUGGCAUGUUAUUUAGGAUCUCAAAUAGAGAUUUGAAGUUGGUCACAGGAGAGGGGAGUCUGUUGAUUAUGUAUGCUGCAUGAAGAAUGCAGUUGCCCCAAAAUUCCUCAGGUACAAUAUUUGUUUGGAAUUUUAAUGCCCUGGCCACCACAAGGAGGUGCUUGUGUUUUCUUUCCACCAUCCCAUUUUGUUGAGGUGUGUAGGGACAACUUGUUUGACGUAGGAUUCCAUGUUUGGAGGAGAAUUUUGAUAGUACAGAGCAUGUUAACUCUGACCCAUUGUCUGUUCUAAAUAAUUUUAUCCAAACUAAUUUUGAACCAUCAUGUAGAAGGCUUGAACCCAAUCAGAUGUUUCAGUAGAAUAUAUCAGUACAUAAUGUUUAUCACAAAGAAAAGGACAUCACUGAUCAUCUAUUUUUUUGGCCAGAGAAACAUCUGCGUAUAUGUCAUUUUUUAUAGAAUAUGAAUUAAAUAUGUGUAAAUUAUAUUACAGUUCAGUGUCGCGUCAAAAUGGUGCGACAACACCCCCAUAAAGAAUCGAAACUUUCUCACAGAAUUUACAUUGAGUAAAGAAAAAGAAAAAUUGACUCUUGAGUCGUUUCUACUUUACAACACCACCUAUGAAUCUAUGGUUAUGAAGUUGUUGUGCUAACAGGAACUGGAGUCCUAAGAAUUUGUUGGAGCAAACGAGCUGCAAGACGUUGGCUAAUUCCUCCAGCAACACGUCCACCGAGAUUUUGAACUUCCGAUUGUUGAAGGACCUGUAUGAUCGAUGCUCUUGUUAUGAAUUUUGGUCAUUGGAAUUUCACAAGAAAGAAAGAGUAUGGACCAUAGUAUGGUGGUGAAAUAAUAGAAUACCUG